rnacentral:rRNA from 1 species
UACGUAGGGUGCAAGCGUUGUCCGGAAUUAUUGGGCGUAAAGAGCUCGUAGGCGGUCUGUCACGUCGGCUGUGAAAACCCGAGGCUCAACCUCGGGCCUGCAGUCGAUACGGGCAGACUAGAGUUCGGUAGGGGAGACUGGAAUUCCUGGUGUAGCGGUGAAAUGCGCAGAUAUCAGGAGGAACACCGGUGGCGAAGGCGGAUCUCUGGGCCAUUACUGACGCUGAGGAGCGAAAGCGUGGGGAGCGAACAGG